CCUACGGGGGGCAGCAGUGAGGAAUAUUGGUCAAUGGGCGGAAGCCUGAACCAGCCAAGUCGCGUGAGGGAAUAAGGCCCUACGGGUCGUAAACCUCUUUUGCCGGGGAGCAACGGGCGCCACGUGUGGCGUCACUGAGAGUCCCCGGAGAAAAAGCAUCGGCUAACUCCGUGCCAGCAGCCGCGGUAAUACGGAGGUUGCGAGCGUUAUCCGGAUUUAUUGGGUUUAAAGGGUGCGUAGGCGGAUCGUUAAGUCAGUGGUCAAAUUGAGGGGCUCAACCCCUUCCCGCCAUUGAAACUGGCGUUCUUGAGUGGAAGAGAGGUAUGCGGAAUGCGAGGUGUAGCGGGGAAAUGCAUAGAUAUCACGCAGAACCCCGAUUGCGAAGGCAGCAUGCCGGCUUCCGACUGACGCUGAAGCACGAAAGCGUGGGGAUCGAACAGGAUUAGAUACCCUUGUAGUC
rnacentral:rRNA from 1 species